AGCAGUGUAGCAUAGUGGUAAGGUGCAGGGCUUGUAACCUAAAGGUUGCUGGUUCGAGUCCUGUGCUGGGGCACUGCUG